rnacentral:rRNA from 1 species
UACGGAGGGUGCAAGCAUUGAUCGGAAUUACUGGGUGUAAAGGGCGCGUAGGCGGCAGAAUAAGUCGGAUGUGAAAUUCCGGGGCUCAACCCCGGAGCUGCAUUUGAAACUAUUCAGCUAGAGGUUAGUAAGGGAAAACGGAAUUCCACGUGUAGCGGUGAAAUGCGUAGAUAUGUGGAAGAACACCGGUGGUGAAGACGGUUUUCUGUGCUAAACCUGACGCUGAGGCGCGAAAGCUAGGGGAG